CUACGGGUUGCUCCAGUGGGGAAUAUUGCACAAUGGGGGAAACCCUGAUGCGGCCAUGCCGCGUGUGUGAAGAAGGCCUUCGGGUUGUAAAGCACUUUCAGUCAGGAGGAAGGGGUGAUGGCUAAUAUCCAUCAUCAUUGACGUUACUGACAGAAGAAGCACCGGCUAACUCCGUGCCAGCAGCCGCGGUAAUACGGAGGGUGCAAGCGUUAAUCGGAAUAACUGGGCGUAAAGCGCACGCAGGCGGUUGGAUAAGCGAGAUGUGAAAGCCCCGGGCUCAACCUGGGAACUGCAUUUCGAACUGUCCGACUAGAGUCUUGUAGAGGGGGGUAGAAUUCCAGGUGUAGCGGUGAAAUGCGUAGAGAUCUGGAGGAAUACCGGUGGCGAAGGCGGCCCCCUGGACAAAGACUGACGCUCAGGUGCGAAAGCGUGGGGAGCAAACAGGAUUAGAUACCCCCGUAGUC
rnacentral:rRNA from 1 species